GCACCUGUGGCUCAGAAGGGUAGGGCGCUGGCCCUGUAUGCCAGAGGUGGCGGGUUCAAACCCAGCCUCGGCCA
rfam:Otolemur garnettii contig140309, whole genome shotgun sequence.